GUCAGGAUGGCCGAGCGGUCUAAGGCGCUGUGUUUAGGUCGCAGUCUACUCUCGUAGGCGUGGGUUCGAAUCCCACUUCUGACA
rnacentral:tRNA from 1 species